rnacentral:rRNA from 1 species
GGAUGAAUAUUGGUCAAUGGGCGGGAGCCUGAACCAGCCAAGCCGCGUGAGGGAGGAAGGCCCUAUGGGUCGUAAACCUCUUUUGUCAGGGAACAAAAGCGAGUAUGUAUACUAGUCUGAGUGUACCUGAAGAAAAAGCAUCGGCUAACUCCGUGCCAGCAGCCGCGGUAAUACGGAGGAUGCGAGCGUUAUCCGGAUUUAUUGGGUUUAAAGGGUGCGUAGGCGGCGGUGCAAGUCAGCGGUAAAAGCCCGGGGGCCUCAACCCCGGCGAGCCGUUGAAACUGCAGUGCUAGAGAAGGCGAGAGGUACGCGGAAUGCGCAGUGUAGCGGUGAAAUGCUUAGAUAUUGCGCAGAACUCCGAUUGCGAAGGCAGCGUACUGGCGCCUGACUGACGCUGAGGCACGAAAGCGUGGGGAUCGAACAGGAUUAGAUACC